rnacentral:rRNA from 1 species
UGGGGAAUAUUGCACAAUGGGCGCAAGCCUGAUGCAGCCAUGCCGCGUGUAUGAAGAAGGCCUUCGGGUUGUAAAGUACUUUCAGCGGGGAGGAAGGGAGUAAAGUUAAUACCUUUGCUCAUUGACGUUACCCGCAGAAGAAGCACCUGCUAACUCCGUGCCAGCAGCCGCGGUAAUACGGAGGGUGCAAGCGUUAAUCGGAAUUACUGGGCGUAAAGCGCACGCAGGCGGUUUGUUAAGUCAGAUGUGAAAUCCUCGGGCUCAACCUGGGAACUGCAUCUGAUACUGGCAAGCUUGAGUCUCGUAGAGGGGGGUAGAAUUCCAGGUGUAGCGGUGAAAUGCGUAGAGAUCUGGAGGAAUACCGGUGGCGAAGGAGGCCCCCUGGACGAAGACUGACGCUCAGGUGCGAAAGCGUGGGGAGCAAACAGG